ACUUCGAGUGUUCGGAGUGGAGAGGCCCUGGUGAAGGGCUACGACAGUGGAGAGGCCCUGGUGAAGGGCUACGACAGUGGAGAGGCCCUGGUGAAGGGCUACGACAGUGGAGAGGCCCGGGUGAAGGGCUACGACAGUGGAGAGGCCCGGGUGAAGGGCUACGACAGUGGAGAGGCCCGGGUGAAGGGCUACGACAGUGGAGAGGCCCGGGUGAAGGGCUACGACAGUGGAGAGGCUCUGGUGAAGGGCUACGACAGUGGAGAGGCCCGGGUGAAGGGCUACGACAGUGGAGAGGCUCUGGUGAAGGGCUACGACAGUGGAGAGGCCCUGGUGAAGGGCUACGACAGUGGAGAGGCCCGGGUGAAGGGCUACGACAGUGGAGAGGCCCGGGUGAAGGGCUACGACAGUGGAGAGGCCCGGGUGAAGGGCUAUUGUUUGUUCUCUGUUUUCCCUGCAGGGCCUGAUGAUAAUGAGUGGAAAUAUGGGCGGCAUUACUGCCAGAUGACACUGAGGAGGUGGGACAGAAGGGGGCGUGUGUGAGCGAGCAUGGGGGGUAGCUAGCUACCAGACACUCCCCCAAACUCACACGCGACAAGACAAUUACAGUACAGUCCCCUGCUAUUACUCCCUCAAAAGACAUCACGUGCUACAAGAUAUAACAGUACGUAACUAGAACAUAGGCGACUGAAUACUUGAGGUAGAAAUUUCCCACUGAACCACAGAUCUAGGAUCAGAUUAUCCUACCCCAAUUUUAACCAUCAGAGAGAUGGAGAAAAACUGACCUUUUAUCAGGGGUUGUUAGACAGCAUCUGGUAACACCAGUUGUCACAAUUAACCAGGUGGAAUUGUGGAGAAUAGGAUAUUCUUAUAAGUCGGGUAGGCAACCCUGGUCCUGGAGUGUCACAGGCACUUCAUACAUUUUGAUUUAACUGACCUGGAAGACCAGGUGUGUUGAAUUCAGGCAAUCACUGAACUGAUCAAUUAGCUCAGUUGGUUAGGUGUGGUGCCGAGUUGGGACAAAAUCCUGCAGUAGCUGCGGCACUCCAGGGUUGCCUACCCGGUUCUAAGUGAUAUGCAUAGAAUGACGCAAUCAUUUAGUAGGAUCUCUGUUUGGCCUUCUUGUAGUCUACAAAUGAUUUGUAAUUAUGUUCCGGCCCCCCAACCAUCCGCUCAUGAAAAGAAACAGCCCACGGCUGAAUCUAGUUGAUGAUCCCUGCAUUACAGCAUGUGACGCGGACUGGACUGUGCUGAGGCUACUGCUGCACAAAGUCUUGUAAAACGGCACAGGUAGAGAUGUUAAAAAAUAA
rnacentral:lncRNA from 1 species